CAUCUGUGCUGUUUGCAUAUAUUAUUCUGUCUAAUUUUACUAAUUUUAAUGAAUUAUAAAUAAAAAGGUCUCAAGGUUAUCAUCGUAUAUACUUUACUUUUUCCAUAAUUAUCUUUCAGACUUUUAAGAUUGCCAUUUAUUAUGCAAACAAAAACGAUUUGAAAAUGGUCUUUUCUAUAUUGAACUGUAGUAUCUUGAGUAUUAAUGUUCUCUCAAACUCCCAUCAACAGAAUGAAAGCGUCACAUUUAUAUCUUCUGCCACCAUUAUCAUUACUAGUGGAUAACUCUCUUAUGGCAUGUAAUUCGUCUUCUAGAUAAAAACACCGUCAACACUAGAUUGAAAUGUUCCGCCUUCACAUUUUUUUCCAUUUCGUAAAUGUUGGAAACUGAAAAACUUUAGUCGAUUCUUAUCUUUUCUGCUAUGGAGAGAAGAGAAAUUAGAUGUGAAGCUGUUCUCUUUUCAAUAGAACUAAAGCUUUUCCAUAGUUGAGUGCAACAGAUAACAGGGAAGACAGUAAACUACCUUUUCCAAAGAAGUUUUGUUGAUUGGAAGUCCUGAUCUUCAAUCGAUGACCAGUAAUUCUAGAAAAUGCUGUGAAGAACCCCGAAAAAUGCAAUAAAGGUUAUAGAAUUUUAAAUAAAGCAUAUAGAAAAGUAACAUAAGAAACCGCAAAUUUCCAAACAGAGAGGAAAAAGAAAACUAAUUAUCAUCCUGAGAGAGCAUAUUGCUUAUUCCCAGAAGGACAAAGGAGCUAGCAAGUCGACAGUCGUUUCGACAGGUAUAACAAAUGUGAUGAAUGAACCAACUUCGGUCUUAUUUACAUAGAAAUUACCUCAACGAAAUAGGAACUCUUUUUUUUUAUCUUUCUGCGUUCAAAUGUUCUUAAAUUAUCGAAGAAGAAAAGAAAAAUCCAUCGCUUGCUAUAAACGAACGAAAAACUUUCGUGUGAUGGAAAAUAUGCAAGACAAAUACCUUACAGAAUUUAUAAUUUCCAUUCUAAGCUCCACUGACAGAAAUAAAUGGAAUUAAAAAAAUAAAAAAAUGAAGUAAAUUAUUUAUAAGUGCGAAACGCGUUUAAAUAAAUUAAAUUAAUAAGAGUAACCAAAGAGCCUUUCUUAAUUAAGUUUAUUUUAUAUAGACUUUUAGAAAUUACUAGAAGGAGA